GGAGAAGCAGACAUGAAAAAUAAGUGGCUGAAGAUAAAGUAGGAAAGAUGAUUGAUUGAAUAAAGGACAGAAAAGGGAUCAAGAGCAUAGAAGAAAACAUUUGGAUUAGAUGAAGAAAUUGAAGCUCCAAUACAGCAGCUAACUUGUGUGGUAUCACACAGCUGGUUGACUUGCCCAAAACCUUCACAUUUCCUUCCAGUGCUGAGAGGUGGAGCUAUUGGGUGAUGAAAAGGAU
rnacentral:lncRNA from 1 species